AGUGAACGCUGGCGGCAGGCCUAACACAUGCAAGUCGAACGGCAGCACAAGAGAGCUUGCUCUCUGGGUGGCGAGUGGCGGACGGGUGAGGAAUGCAUCGGAAUCCGCCCAUUUGUGGGGGAUAACCUCGGGAAACCGGGACUAAUACCGCAUACGACCUACGGGUGAAAGCAGGGGAUCUUCGGACCUUGCGCAGAUGGAUGAGCCGAUGCCGGAUUAGCUAGUUGGAGGGGUAAAGGCCCACCAAGGCGACGAUCCGUAGCUGGUCUGAGAGGAUGAUCAGCCACACUGGGACUGAGACACGGCCCAGACUCCUACGGGAGGCAGCAGUGGGGAAUAUUGGACAAUGGGCGCAAGCCUGAUCCAGCCAUGCCGCGUGUGUGAAGAAGGCCUUCGGGUUGUAAAGCACUUUUGUUGGGAAAGAAAAGCAGCCGGUUAAUACCCGGUUGUCAUGACGGUACCCAAAGAAUAAGCACCGGCUAACUUCGUG
rnacentral:rRNA from 1 species